AGUUAAAGACGUAGGGUACAGAGGUAAGAUGUUCUAUCUUUCAGACCUUUUACUUCACGUAAUCGGAUUUGGCUGAAUAUUUUAGCCGCCCCAGUCAGUUAUGACUGGGGCGUUUUUUA
rnacentral:other from 1 species